ACAAAGUUAAACCCAUUCCGGAAAACUACCUCGCCAUGCAUCAUAAUCAGUCACGUGGAAAACCAACAACAGGUAUAAAGAGGGGCUGUUCGACAGCCUUGCAUCCCGCACUUCUCCCGCAACUGUGUCCGAUCUGAUCUGUAGUGAAAUUCUAUUUGAACAGCAGACAUGAAGUUCGCCGUAUUUCUCCUUGUCUUGGCAUGUGUUUGCGCUGUCGCCCUAAGCGCUCCUAGUAAAAGGAGGUGCAAAGGCAAAGAUGAGAACGGCAACGGCAAUGGCAACGGCAAUGGCAACGGUGAGAACGGCAAUGGAAAUGGCAACGAUGACAACGGUAAUGGAGAAUGUGACGAAGGGAACAAUGAUGACAAAUAUGAUGACUCGAACAACAACGGUAACGGCAAUGGCAACGGCAACGGUAACGACAACGGUAACGACAAUGGCAACGGCAAUGGCAAUGGCGACGCGUAACGGCAACUUUAACUGAGGUCGAACAAAUGCUCUUCCAGCGCAUCUUUCUAAAUGUGAAGCAGUUUCCCAUCGAGCGUAAUCAAGAAUGAAUGUCCUGCAAUCUUGAAUAAAUACUUUUCCCUAUCUUUCAA
rnacentral:misc_RNA from 1 species